UACGUAGGGUGCGAGCGUUGUCCGGAAUUAUUGGGCGUAAAGAGCUCGUAGGCGGCUUGUCGCGUCGACCGUGAAAACUUGGGGCUCAACCCCAAGCCUGCGGUCGAUACGGGCAGGCUCGAGUUCGGUAGGGGAGACUGGAAUUCCUGGUGUAGCGGUGAAAUGCGUAGAUAUCGGUAGGAACACCAGUGGCGAAGGCGGUCUCCUGGGGCAUUCUUGACGCUGAGGCGCGAAAGCUGGGGGAGCAAACGGG
rnacentral:rRNA from 1 species